rnacentral:lncRNA from 1 species
UUUAUGCUUGGUUCGUAAGGCAAGAUAAAUGUCAAGUUUUCGCGGAUAAAUGUAAAGUUUUCGAAGAUAAUCACGAAGAUCGGGAAAAUUGGAGUAUCUCCAUUUUUGAGCUAUGACGGCUUAAGGGCAGAAAGAAAAAGGCGUAAACCGACCUUGGAGCAAGUAUAUAAGGAGUCCUAGGCGAGAGGCAAAGCGGGAUUCGAGACACAGCAAAAAACUUAGCACUUAGAGCGAUUUAGGCAAUUUUCCGUUUUUGUUAUUCGAGCUGUGACUCAAUUAGGUUUAGCAGCUUUAGGGUUUUAUAACUAGGAAUCUCGCCGACAGCUCUCGCAGCCCAGGCUCUUACCUUGU